rfam:E.coli trpLep pause site.
AAAGGUUGGUGGCGCACUUCCUGAAUUCGGGCAGUGUAUUCACCAUGCGAGAGUAGGGAACUGCCAGGAUCAAAGAUAAAACGAAAGGCUCAGU